CCUACGGGUGGCAGCAGUGAGGAAUAUUGGUCAAUGGGCGGGAGCCUGAACCAGCCAAGUCGCGUGAGGGAAGAAGGUACUGAGUAUUGUAAACCUCUUUUGCCAGGGGACAAAGGCGGCCACGGGUGGCCGUAUGAGGGUACCUGGAGAAAAAGCAUCGGCUAACUCCGUGCCAGCAGCCGCGGUAAUACGGAGGAUGCGAGCGUUAUCCGGAUUUAUUGGGUUUAAAGGGAGCGUAGAUGGGUUGUUAAGUCAGUUGUGAAAGUUUGCGGCUCAACCGUAAAAUUGCAAUUGAUACUGGCAGUCUUGAGUACAGUUGAGGUAGGCGGAAUUCGUGGUGUAGCGGUGAAAUGCUUAGAUAUCACGAAGAACCCCGAUUGCGAAGGCAGCUUACUAAACUGUGACUGACAUUGAUGCUCGAAAGUGUGGGUAUCAAACAGGAUUAGAUACCCCGGUAGUC
rnacentral:rRNA from 1 species